rnacentral:rRNA from 1 species
UACGUAGGGUGCAAGCGUUGUCCGGAAUUAUUGGGCGUAAAGAGCUCGUAGGCGGUUUGUUGCGUCUGCUGUGAAAACCCAGGGCUUAACCCUGGGCCUGCAGUGGGUACGGGCAGACUAGAGUGCGGUAGGGGAGAUCGGAAUUCCUGGUGUAGCGGUGAAAUGCGCAGAUAUCAGGAGGAACACCGGUGGCGAAGGCGGAUCUCUGGGCCGUAACUGACACUGAGGGACGAAAGCUAGGGGAGCGAAAGGG